GCUACAAUAUGAUAGUAUACAAGCUCUGGUGCUUUGCUCUUUUCACUCUGAAUGGUUUUCAAGGGAUAUCCUUGAUUUAAUGCAGUUAAAGAACUCAAACAUGUGAAAUAAUUCAAGAUCUUGCAUUGGAUGUUCAGAAAGAAAAUUAAAGUUUGGGCAGUAUAACUAACACUAUGGAUGUCAACAUAGUGAAUGAAUGUGUUUGCAAAUAACUGGUUCCUUCUGCAAAAAUUGAAUAUAACAUGGCUAUCAAGUCAUCGUUAUGCAGUGUGGUUUCUUAGCUUCCUUUGUCUUGGAAUAACUAUCAGUUCUUUCUAAAAGGCAAACAUGAUUAUAGUCGAGAUGUAGAGGAAAGACUCA